rnacentral:lncRNA from 1 species
AUGCUACCUCAACUUUGGACAUACUCACAUACAAGGGGGAUUAAAGGGAAAGGGGAUCACAUGAAAGCAAACAUCAAGGAGAGAUAAGAAAAACAGAACAGCAGCAGCAUACAGAAAGGUAUAACAGACUAGUGUAUAGUCAUUUAGUACCAGAAAAUAUGUAGUUGAGGGGUCAUGUAGAAGGGAGAAAUAAACACAUAGUUUUAUAGAACAAUAUUUAAAUGGUGGAGACCUACCUGUUGCAAUUGUCAAACAGCACAACAAGCAAAUAGAGUUAUAUAGUUUAGCCUUGGCUUUUAGCCGGCUACACACAAGCAGCAACACAAGUAGCAAAAAAGAGAAGAGAGAGUUUAGUAUGUGUGUGUGUU